rnacentral:rRNA from 1 species
AUUGAACGCUGGCGGCAUGCUUUACACAUGCAAGUCGAACGGUAACAGGCCGCAAGGUGCUGACGAGUGGCGCACGGGUGAGUAAUGCAUCGGAACGUGCCCAGUCGUGGGGGAUAACUACUCGAAAGAGUAGCUAAUACCGCAUACGAUCUAUGGAUGAAAGCGGGGGACCGUAAGGCCUCGCGCGAUUGGAGCGGCCGAUGUCAGAUUAGGUAGUUGGUGGGGUAAAGGCUCACCAAGCCAACGAUCUGUAGCUGGUCUGAGAGGACGACCAGCCACACUGGGACUGAGACACGGCCCAGACUCCUACGGGAGGCAGCAGUGGGGAAUUUUGGACAAAGGGCGCAAGCCUGAUCCAGCAAUGCCGCGUGCAGGAAGAAGGCCUUCGGGUUGUAAACUGCUUUUGUACGGAACGAAACGGCUCUGGUUAAUACCCGGGGCUAAUGACGGUACCGUAAGAAUAGGCACCGGCUAACUACGUG